CAAUCUAGCCGAAAUAGUAAUUUUGAUGGCCAGCUUGUAAUAUGCAAUAAUUAUCUUCUCGAUGGUUGUGGAUUUUGAACUUGAAGAAUUAAUGGCUAAUUAGUAAUUAUUGGUAGUCUCACACAUCAAGACAGCCGUGCUAAGGAAGAACGCUGCAUAAACCUUCAGGCGUUGCCAAAUUUCCUUUCAUUAAAUCCGAAUUUUCUGGUAAACUUAUGACAAUUUUUCUCCCAAUUUUUUCAGAUAAUAUUCGUAAUUGCAUCUACAGGCUCUGAAAAUUGAAAGGAAAACUAUUCAUAACAUUCCUCAAAAAUAAUAAUGCUAUAGAAGUAAAUUUGGCAACUCUGGAAUGUUCAUACUGCGUUCUUCCUCAGCACGGCAGAAGAGGACAAUGAUUCAGUAAAGGCAGGCAGGGGCACAGAGCAGCUGAGUUCCUCAGGUAAAAUAUCAUAAGAUUAACUGGAAGAAGUUGGCUCCCAAUAGUGGAGAGGAACAAAUGCUGCUGUUAUUUGGUGUCAUGUCAGUCAAUUCUGGUGCCCUUUUAAUUCUUUCUUGAGAAUGAUUUUUCCUCAGAAGGGACUCAUGCUGAUAUCUUGGCAACUAGUUAUGUAUUAAAAAAGUAUGAUGGUGGCACUUUCUCAACUCAUUUAUUGAACGUAAAAUUUCCAGAUUUCUUGUCUUAAAGUAAAGUCAUCCAUGAAGCAUGAGCUAAAAUUCGCUUUAGCUGUAAGUAAACAGUGGCAUGAGGGUGUAAUUAAAGCCUCUGAAAACAUCGUAAAUGUCUCUCCAAUGCAUGCUUAAUUUAAGUACAUGCAUAAACAAUUUUGUUAGUUUAUGAAUUGGUUGGAACUCAAACAAUUUACCAUUCCCCAUUUCGAGUAUAUUUUGUCUAAAUUCUAUUUUAGUCUUUUCCAUAAGAAAGUUCUCUAAAGUAGGUUAAUUUGAAAAUCUGUAGUAGCAUCUUUCAACUGAUAGAGACUUCUUCAAGAGUUGCUGUUUUAAUAGUUGUAAUAUUUUCAUUCUUAUUAGCCUCAACUCAACUUUACAAUUGACAGGGUGUGUUGGGAACAACUACAAAAAUCUAAUACAGCAUUCAUCUUUUUGCACCAUGCCAAUCAGCUGUGCUUAAAUUUUUUGUCGCUGUAAACUGCAUCUUAUUUGAAAUUGGUCACCUCUAAGCCAGUCAAAUAGGCCAGACCAAAUACUAAACGCAGGUAAGUUCAGAGAUGUUGUUUUUUUUUUUGCUGUUUUGUCCAGCCCCUGGUUCCCUUAAAAACCAGUAGCUUUUCUCCACAAGCCUUAGCAGUUAAUCUCAAACAAAAGAUCAAAGAAAAAAUUUUAAUAGUUUGGAACCUAAAGUCGUAAGAUGCUAAACCUAUUUACCAUAAUGCUUAUGAGCGGCUGAUUUCACUUGAUUUAAAAUGACUAUGUUAUGAACGAGAUUAAUUAUAUUUUUUCAACAACUCUUGUUCUGUAGUAUUAGUAUGUAAUUCUUAUGUUCAUUGAAAAAAAAUCUCUCCAUGCUCCAAGCCACGAUGACAACACAUAAUUAUUUUCCCCAAGUUCAUUCCAUAGCAAUGUCACCUAUCACUAUCCUUGUUGGAUCAUUCUAUGAGAUGUUGAUGAUGUAUUUUUGAUUUGUUAAAUUUUAUUAUUGAGGUAUCAUAUAAUAUUGUUAAUGUUAAAUUAUAUGUCAAAAAAUUA